CCUCUAUAUCAUAGAGAGGGCUGCCUUUACACCACCACCAUCUUGGAGCUGUUCUGCUGGAUUACUCGGGUACUAAGUAGAAAGUAGUAGUACAUGUAACAACAACAACACAGCAGGACCUAGUUCAGCCUUUAAACCAGCAAGGCAUGAUUGCAGAUUGGCGCUCAGGUGCGUCCACCUCCCCUGCUUUCCAACCACGGUCCACCAACUACACCAACCUCCGAUAACUAUGCAGUGCUCUCCUUUAAGUUUUAUUUUGCCCCUCACCCCCCAACCAGUCGCGGCAGAUGACUGCCCCUUCUUGAACCUGGUUCUGCCUCAGGUUUCUUCCUGUGAAAGGGAGUUUUUCCUGGCCACCGUUGCCCAGUGCUUGUUCAUAGGGGAUCAUUUGAUUGUUGGGGUUUAUUCUUUAAAAUGUCAUUUUAUUUAAAUUAUUUCAGGUGAGGGGUUCACUUGAUAGGGAGCACAAAAAGCUGCAAAUAAAAACAAAUUAAAAAAAAGGUGUAUUUAGCUGCAAAUCAAAAAUAAAAAAAAACAAAUAUUAAAUUUCCCUACUGCUUCGUUUAUUUACUUAAAAGAACAGCUUUAAAUUUUGUGUGAUAGUGUCAUGGCCCUUGGUCAAGUGAUCCAGGGUUUAUCUUUUGGACUGUGUGAAUCUGGUUUAAUUUGUGUCCUUUGAUUUAAUAGUAUUCAUGGUUCUGUUUCUCAUCUCCCAUGUGUCCAUGUUGCUUUUGUAUGUCGUGUCUCUUUAGCCGCCGCAGCAGUGGGCGGGCACAUCCACAUCAUCCACGUCGCCGCCAACAUACGUUGU
ensembl:lncRNA